UUCUGGACUUUGGCUUGGGAAUGU
rnacentral:piRNA from 1 species